rnacentral:misc_RNA from 1 species
GUCCGUUAGUCGGUGAACGAAUCUCCGGCCAUAUUCCCGACGUCGGCGUGUGCUCGACUGGAAACACCACUUUUAUCUGAGACUCGACUGAAGCACUUUUAUCUAAGAAUUAGGUGAAGCUGAAUCUCCGGUCACAUUUCGCCGGAAUGUCAGUUCUACCUUACCGGCAACUACUCUGCCGUGAAAAUAAUUUCAGUUAACAGUCCGCGAAACCCGGAUACACGGCCACAUUUUCUCCGGAACGUUAGUCUUUCGAUUCCACCGACCACUCUACAGGGGUAAACACCUUUAAGCAAACGCACAUCGCAUUUAUCUGACUUCACUCUGAUGCUUUUAGCCGCGAAGCUUCAAGUGGAGUUGCUGGUGCUUUUUCUGUUUUCGCUUUCUGCAAUCCCUUUCGAUCUCAUUUGUCUAAGGAAUUAAGAUGAAUGGAUUUCAGAAUGGCAGGAUUCAUACCCAUGAUAAACCUUCUCCAGGAUGCUUGGGACGA